UACGUAGGCAGCGAGCGUUGUUCGGAGUUACUGGGCGUAAAGAGUGCGUAGGCGGUUUUCUAAGUUUGGUGUGAAAUCUCCCGGCUCAACUGGGAGGGUGCGCCGAAGACUGGAAGGCUUGAGUAUGGGAGAGGUAAGCGGAAUUCCUGGUGUAGCGGUGAAAUGGCGUAGAUAUCUGGAGGAACACCGGUGGCGAAGGCGGCAUCCUGGACCAAUAUUGACGCUGAGGAGCGAAAGCCAGGGGAGCAAACGGG
rnacentral:rRNA from 1 species